rnacentral:miRNA from 1 species
AUCACCUGGGAUCUUGUUAAACACAGAUCCUGAUUAAGGGGUUUGGAGUGGGACCUGAGAGUCUGCAUUUCUAACAAGCUCCGAGGUGAUGCC